GAUGAACGCUGGCGGCGUGCCUAAUACAUGCAAGUCGAGCGAACAGACGAGGAGCUUGCUCCUCUGACGUUAGCGGCGGACGGGUGAGUAACACGUGGAUAACCUACCUAUAAGACUGGGAUAACUUCGGGAAACCGGAGCUAAUACCGGAUAAUAUAUUGAACCGCAUGGUUCAAUAGUGAAAGACGGUUUUGCUGUGACUUAUAGAUGGAUCCGCGCCGCAUUAGCUAGUUGGUAAGGUAACGGCUUACCAAGGCGACGAUGCGUAGCCGACCUGAGAGGGUGAUCGGCCACACUGGAACUGAGACACGGUCCAGACUCCUACGGGAGGCAGCAGUAGGGAAUCUUCCGCAAUGGGCGAAAGCCUGACGGAGCAACGCCGCGUGAGUGAUGAAGGUCUUCGGAUCGUAAAACUCUGUUAUUAGGGAAGAACAAAUGUGUAAGUAACUAUGCACGUCUUGACGGUACCUAAUCAGAAAGCCACGGCUAACUACGUG
rnacentral:rRNA from 1 species